rnacentral:rRNA from 1 species
UUGAACGCUGGCGGCAGGCCUCACACAUGCAAGUCGAACGGUAACAGGAAGCAGCUUGCUGCUUCGCUGACGAGUGGCGGACGGGUGAGUAAUGUCUGGGAAACUGCCUGAUGGAGGGGGAUAACUACUGGAAACGGUAGCUAAUACCGCAUAACGUCGCUAGACCAAAGAGGGGGACCUUAGGGCCUCUUGCCAUCGGAUGUGCCCAGAUGGGAUUAGCUAGUAGGUGGGGUAACGGCUCACCUAGGCGACGAUCCCUAGCUGGUCUGAGAGGAUGACCAGCCACACUGGAACUGAGACACGGUCCAGACUCCUACGGGAGGCAGCAGUGGGGAAUAUUGCACAAUGGGCGCAAGCCUGAUGCAGCCAUGCCGCGUGUAUGAAGAAGGCCUUCGGGUUGUAAAGUACUUUCAGCGGGGAGGAAGGGAGUAAAGUUAAUACCUUUGCUCAUUGACGUUACCCGCAGAAGAAGCACCGGCUAACUCCGUG